AACGAACGCUGGCGGCAGGCCUAACACAUGCAAGUCGAACGAGAAGCCACCUUCGGGUGGUGGAAAGUGGCAGACGGGUGAGUAACGCGUGGGAACGUGCCUUUCGGUUCGGGAUAACCCAGGGAAACUUGGGCUAAUACAGGAUACGCCCUUCGGGGGAAAGAUUCAUUGCCGAAAGAUCGGUCCGCGUCGGAUUAGCUAGUUGGUGGGGUAAGAGCCUACCAAUGCGACGAUCCGUAGCUGGUCUGGGAGGAUGACCAGCCACACUGGGACUGAGACACGGCCCAGACUCCUACGGGAGGCAGCAGUGGGGAAUAUUGGACAAUGGGCGAAAGCCUGAUCCAGCCAUGCCGCGUGGGUGAAGAAGGCCUUAGGGUUGUAAAUCCCUUUCAGCGGUGACGAUAAUGACGGUACCCGCAGAAGAAGUCCCGGCUAACUCCGUGCCAGCCGCCGCGGUAACAC
rnacentral:rRNA from 1 species